GACGAACGCUGGCGGCGUGCUUAACACAUGCAAGUCGAACGGAAAGGCCCUGCUUUUUUGGGGUCCUCGAGUGGCGAACGGGUGAGUAACACGUGAGUAACCUGCCCUUGACUUUGGGAUAACUUCCGGAAACUGGGGCUAAUACCCGAUAGGAGCUCCUGCUGCAUGGUGGGGGUUGGAAAGUUUCGGCGGUUGGGGAUGGACUCGCGGCUUAUCAGCUUGUUUGUGGGGUAGUGGCUUACCAAGGCUUUGACGGGUUGCCGGCCUGAGAGGGUGACCGGCGACAUUGGGACUGAGAUAAGGCGCAGACUCCUACGGGAGGCAGGGGUGGGGAAUAUUGCACAAUGGGCGGAAGCCUGAUGCAGCAACGCCGCGUGCGGGAUGACGGCAUUCGGGUUGUAAACCGAUUUCGCCUGUGACGAAGCGUGAGUGACGGUAAUGGGUAAAGAAGCACCGGCUAACUACGUG
rnacentral:rRNA from 1 species